rnacentral:rRNA from 13 species
AAGUAGAAAAGGGCGUAUGGGGAAUGCCUAGGCUCUCAGAGGCGAUGAAGGACGUGAUAAGCUGCGAUAAGCUGCGGGGAUCAGCACAUAUGAAUUGAUCCGCAGAUUUCCGAAUGGGACAACCCAGCAUGUUGAAGACAUGUUAUUCCGAACUUGUUUCGGAAGGCGAACCCGGGGAACUGAAACAUCUAAGUACCCGGAGGAAAGGACAUCAAUUGAGACUCCGUUAGUAGUGGCGAGCGAACGCGGACCAGGCCAGUGCUCUUAUCAAUCGAACUGGAACCGUCUGGAAAGUCGGGCCGCAGUGGGUGACAGCCCCGUACAGGUAGGAAAGAUAAGAGACUCGAGUAGGGCGGGACACGUGAAAUCCUGUCUGAACAUGGGGGGACCAUCCUCCAAGCCUAAGUACUCCUACAUGACCGAUAGUGAACCAGUACCGUGAGGGAAAGGUGAAAAGCACCCCGACGAGGGGAGUGAAACAGUACCUG